rnacentral:rRNA from 1 species
UACAGAGGGUGCAAGCGUUAUUCGGAAUUACUGGGCGUAAAGCGUGCGUAGACGGUUAUUUAAGUCAGGUGUGAAAGCCCCGGGCUCAACCUGGGAAUUGCAUUUGAGACUGAAUAGCUAGGGUGCGGAAGAGGGAAGCGGAAUUUCCGGUGUAGCGGUGAAAUGCGUAGAUAUCGGAAGGAACACCAGUGGCGAAAGCGGCUUGCUGGUCCAGCACUGACGUUGAGGCACGAAAGCGUGGGGAGCAAACAGG